rnacentral:rRNA from 1 species
UACGUAGGGUGCAAGCGUUGUUCGGAAUUACUGGGCGUAAAGCGCGCGUAGGCGGCUUAGCAAGUCAGGGGUGAAAUCCCACAGCUUAACUGUGGAAUUGCCUUUGAAACUGCAAAGCUAGAGUGUCGGAGGGGAUAGCGGAAUUCCUAAUGUAGAGGUGAAAUUCGUAGAUAUUAGGAGGAACACCGGUGGCGAAGGCGGCUAUCUGGACGACAACUGACGCUGAGGCGCGAAAGCGUGGGGAUCAAACAGG